rnacentral:rRNA from 1 species
UACGUAGGGUGCAAGCGUUAAUCGGAAUUACUGGGCGUAAAGCGUGCGCAGGCGGUAAUGUAAGACAGUUGUGAAAUCCCCGGGCUCAACCUGGGAACUGCAUCUGUGACUGCAUUGCUGGAGUACGGCAGAGGGGGAUGGAAUUCCGCGUGUAGCAGUGAAAUGCGUAGAUAUGCGGAGGAACACCGAUGGCGAAGGCAAUCCCCUGGACCUGUACUGACGCUCAUGCACGAAAGCGUGGGGAGCAAACAGG